rnacentral:lncRNA from 1 species
GCCUGCAAUGCUGGUUUCAGCCAAAUCGGUUUGGUUGUAAUAAGGCAGGUGAGAAACUAAAUCGGUUUGGUUGUAAUAAGGCAGGUGAGAAACUACAGUAUUAUAUAAUUUAAAUGAAACCUCAGUAUAUAGAAUAAGCACAUUCUUAAUUAAUACAUGAAGUUUCCCUUUCCAUCAAAAUAAUAAUAAAUAUUAAUACAUGAAGAUUUUUACAGCAGAACCUAGGAGUUUUCUUACGGACGUUCUCCAGUUGAGCAGUGGAAAGGUGAUGAAGGGAUGGAGUAGAAGGGUUGAUGAAAGGAUCAUCAAAUAAUUUCACAGAGCUAACAAACCCAACAUAGUACAGGUCUCCAUCGUUCCAUGAUUCCGUCCACUCAAGUGAUCGGUAUCUUUUUUCCUCCUCUUUUUUUUCUAUGAAACUUGGAGAUGACUACUUUAAAAAUGGUCUCACAAUUGGUCUAAUUCUUCUUUGGUAAGGGAUAAAUUGUAGGCUUUGUCCCCUUCUUUCAGGUGAUUGCCGCACUUCAUGUUAUUCACUCUGAUAAGCCAAGCGUUCAGGUGGAGAUACAACUUCAAUACCCUGCUCUCUAUUUGUCCAAGGAUUUCAUGUGAUUGCUUUAGCCCUCACCACCUUAGAAAGCAGGUAAUUUUUUCCCUAAUCCCACUUUGCAAUCCGCCCAGACUCUGGGUUGUCCUUAAUGGUGAGGAGCUUGUAUUUUUUUAAAAUACUUCUAAUAAAAGAAAACUGGAAUUUCAUUGUUUGCUCCCUCUUCAGUGUCGGUGUUACAGUGUGCUUGUCCAAAAUAUCAAACUUGAUUUGAAUGCUCUAAGAAUGUAAGGUGCCACAGAACAACACGUAAAACAAAUACAAGACAAAGUAAACAAAGGCUGCCUUUUUCAAGAAGUUGAGAGUAUUGAUUGCUUUUGUCUCAGGUACAAUGUUAUAGAUUGAAGUUGUGACGAGAAGUAGAUUACUAGAUGGAUUUCAGACUUGUUCCCUUUCCCGUUACUGAACUGAAGAUUCUUCAUCUUCUUCUUUAUGAAACUUCCAAAUUGCAGCCAUUAGCCCUUGAGAAGAAGAGGAUGAAGACCUGGGUUUUGCAUUCCUUUGCACCUGCAUCAUUCUCUACAAACACUUUUAGAGAGAAUAACUAAUUUGAGUUAAAUGAUGUUCCCAAAAAACUUUUAGAUGAUGAAAUUAUCUUAUUGGUAUCAAUCCAUUAGCUUUUCUUCUUCUUUUUUAUCCCUCUUUUUUCUCUGAAGAGAAAAGGUGCUCAUCUACCAGUUUCAUUUAGGAAGUGUAAAGGAAACGAUUACUUUUGAUUCUGUAGAACAGAAGCAGCAGAAGAGAACAAUCCAAAGCAUACUCAAGGUACAGACUAAAAUGGUAGUCAUCAGUUUGGCUAGAUUGAUAGGUUCAUUUUACCUUUUUGCUUGGUGCAAUCUUCCCUGUCUUCACACUUUUCAAGCUUUCUGGCCUGUUUUGCAGAUACUCCUUUAGUUGGUUAUCAUCCAUGGCUUCAAUCAGAUUAGUCUGCCAUUCGAAAAAAAAUUGAUGGAUAUAAAAGACAUUUUUGAGGAAACAACAAUAUAUUAAGAUGUAUGGCCAAGAGAGAUCUUGUAUGUCAGUUUUAGGAGCUUCAUUUGGUAGAAAAACAAAAACUUGGAUCAUAAUAGUAGAGCAAUGAAUGUAUGGAGGA